rnacentral:tRNA from 1 species
AGGGCUAUAGCUCAGUUGGUAGAGCAACUCGUUUACCGAGAAAGUCUACGGUUCGAGUCCGUAUAGCCCUA